UUAGUACUUUCAGUGUGUCAAUCCUCUGGUUAGUUUUAGACACUGAUUUUAGGAGGAGAUGAAUCAUGUUGUAAAGAGCCUUUUCUUGCUAUCGAAUACAAAAUUUUUAGGGCUGAGAUUCACUCACACCUUUUUCUUUUAUUUGAGAUGCCCUACAGUACCACUGUGGCCACCAAGGGCAUAACUUGGAUGCCCCAGAGAGGUCUAAGAUGCCAUAGACGCUUCUUUUUAGGUGACUGAAUUCCUGCCAGAUGCCAACUCACAUACAGGUGCUACCUCCAGGGCACUACCUCAACAUGACCGUAACUUACCGUUCCAUUAUUGUCUCUGUUGUGCUGUUUUCUGGCUUCUCCACUGGCAGGGAUUCAAAGCCUGAGAGCAGGGCCUCCGCUGGUGGGCUGUCAGAGACCGCCUUUUUCUACUACUUGUGUGUGCUGAUGUGCCAGCAGCCAGCCAGCAGGUUGGUACAAUUUGUGCAAUUAUCCAGAUUUCCCUAUUACACAAUGGUGGUGUAAGCUGCUUUGUGGUUCUCCCUGCAACCCAGUGCCUGGCCAGGAGGAGCCCCAGGAGGCUCCUUGACCACUGCUUUUCAUGCAGGUACUGGUUUGCAGAGUGCUAGGCUCUGCCCCAGCUUUCCCCCACCUUUGGCUCUCUGGUGCCAAUCUAUAGCACAAUUUCAAUUUCCACUUUUCCAAGAUGCACUGAUAUCCCUCUCUGCAUUCUUCUCCUCCAAUAGGUUUACCUUGAUGGGUUUGGAGACAUGUAGGGGAGCCUAUUGACACAGUUCCUACAUCUUGGUCUGCAGAUAUCCCCUUUCACAUUCUUCUGCUGGUUCUUCAAUGAGUCUCUCAGGAGAUGCACAUUUGUAGAAUAAAAAGGGUAACAUGUAAUUCAUACACAAAGUAAAUUCAUUUGUUUGAUGCAAAAAAAGGGAGACAGCUGAGGAAAAGUUAGUUUAAAUGAGAAGUAAUGAAAGCACAUCUGAGUACACUCUGCUGGGAAAAUUUUCAAAUUGGAGUACAAACAGCUGUCUCAGCACCAAGGUUCCCUGCCUGGGACUUGAUAACAUUUUCUUCUCAUGUUUAAUAGUUGGUUAGUACUGCCAUCACCAGCUGUCCACCCUCUUGUCCUGAUGCAAUCCCCAGUGAUAGACCAGCCCUUGCUAAACUCAGGUCACCCAGAAGUGGGACCCAAAUGUUUGUACAGUACUUGCAUGGGAACCUGCUGAGAAUGGAUUACCACCAAGGAAUGAUGCCAUCCAUAAGAAAAUGGGAGCUUGGGUGCAGAAUUAUUUAUUUACUAUUUAUCUGUGGCUGUAUCUGCAGCAAAGAGUGACUGUAGUAUGUUCUGUCAUGUUAUAACUUUGCUCAAGAAUGAGACAUCCGGGGAACCUUAAGCCUCUGUGAUGAUUGUUAACGCCCUGUAAGAAAACAGAAAGUAAUGUUCAAAACCUAGAUACAAGCUGAUUAUAGUCUAGAGCCAGACACUGCUCAGGAACAAGACUUGGGUAGGGUUAGAGGUGGGAAGUGAGGGCUUCAGAGCUGAGUUUCCAGAGCAGCCCUGUUCAUCCCAUAAAGUCUGUUUGCAACUGGUGUCCCAGCAUCUUCUCUGGCUAGAAAAGAGAAGUUCCUAGGAGGAAUGCUUCAGCAGUGGCUAGUGAACUCCAGGAGACGCUGUCCCCUCCAGUCUGGCAAGCAGAUUUACCUUCAGUUUCUCAACAAGUGUGUGCCCUUUGACUAAACUUUUUUCUAACCAUGAAUUCUAACUGCUUUGUAGUUUUAAUUCAUUGUUCAGUGCUGCUGUUUUGGGGAAUUUAUGAACUCUUUGAUGCUCUAUUCUCCUGAUAGAAAGGAUUUCAGAAGGGGACAUUGUGUAAUGGUAUGCAUGCUUGACACAGCAAGCAAUAAAUAGGAUGUUUUUUGCUAGCUACAUGA